GUCUCGCUGGUUUAAUGGUAAAACGGAAUGGUCCUAACAUUUUGAUUAAAGUUCGAGUCUUUAGUGAGAUU